rnacentral:piRNA from 1 species
ACUGAGAUGCAGAGCAGAAACUCAAC